rnacentral:rRNA from 1 species
AUUGAACGCUGGCGGCAGGCUUAACACAUGCAAGUCGAGCGGAGAUGAGGUGCUUGCACCUUAUCUUAGCGGCGGACGGGUGAGUAAUGCUUAGGAAUCUGCCUAUUAGUGGGGGACAACAUUCCGAAAGGAAUGCUAAUACCGCAUACGCCCUACGGGGGAAAGCAAGGGAUCUUCGGACCUUGCGCUAAUAGAUGAGCCUAAGUCGGAUUAGCUAGGUGGUGGGGUAAAGGCCUACCAAGGCGACGAUCUGUAGCGGGUCUGAGAGGAUGAUCCGCCACACUGGGACUGAGACACGGCCCAGACUCCUACGGGAGGCAGCAGUGGGGAAUAUGGGACAAUGGGGGGAACCCUGAUCCAGCCAUGCCGCGUGUGUGAAGAAGGCCUUAUAGUUGUAAAGCACUUUAAGCGAGGAGGAGGCUACUGAGACUAAUACUCUUGGAUAGUGGACGUUACUCGCAGAAUAAGCACCGGCUAACUCUGUGCCAGCCGCCGCCGUAAAAC